rnacentral:rRNA from 1 species
AUGAACGCUGGCGGCGUGCCUCAUCCCUGCCAGUCGAGCGAACAGACGAGGAGCUUGCUCCUCUGACGUUAGCGGCGGACGGGUGAGUAACACGUGGAUAACCUACCUAUAAGACUGGGAUAACUUCGGGAAACCGGAGCUAAUACCGGAUAAUAUAUUGAACCGCAUGGUUCAAUAGUGAAAGACGGUUUUGCUGUCACUUAUAGAUGGAUCCGCGCCGCAUUAGCUAGUUGGUAAGGUAACGGCUUACCAAGGCAACGAUGCGUAGCCGACCUGAGAGGGUGAUCGGCCACACUGGAACUGAGACACGGUCCAGACUCCUACGGGAGGCAGCAGUAGGGAAUCUUCCGCAAUGGGCGAAGGCCUGACGGAGCAACGCCGCGUGAGUGAUGAAGGUCUUCGGAUCGUAAAACUCUGUUAUUAGGGAAGAACAAAUGUGUAAGUAACUAUGCACGUCUUGACGGUACCUAAUCAGAAAGCCACGGCUAACUACGUG